CUCAGAACGAACGCUGGCGGCGUGCUUAACACAUGCAAGUCUAAAGGGAAUGUUGGCUUCGGCUGACUAGUACCUUGGCGAACGGGUGAGUAACACGUGGGUAAUCUGCCCUUGAGUCUGGGAUAACCUUGCGAAAGCGAGGCUAAUACCGGAUAAGACCACGCUCUGUGCGCAGAGUGCGGUAAAAGGUGGCCUCUUCAUGAAAGCUAUCACUUGAGGAUGAGCCCGCGGCCUAUUAGCUAGUUGGUAGGGUAACGGCCUACCAAGGCGACGAUGGGUAGCCGGCCUGAGAGGGUGUACGGCCACACUGGCACUGAGACACGGGCCAGACUCCUACGGGAGGCAGCAGUGGGGAAUUUUGCGCAAUGGGGGAAACCCUGACGCAGCAACGCCGCGUGAGUGAUGAAGGCCUUCGGGUCGUAAAGCUCUUUUAGUGGGGAAGAAGCCCUGCCGGACGAAUAAUCCGGGAGGAUGACGGUACCCACAGAAAAAGUUCCGGCUAACUACGUGCCAGCAGCCGCGGUAAUACGUAGGGAGCAAGCGUUGUUCGGAAUUAUUGGGCGUAAAGAGCGCGUAGGCGGUUCGGUAAGUCUGACGUGAAAUCCCGGAGCUUAACUCCGGAACUGCGUUGGAAACUGCCGGACUUGAGUGUGGGAGAGGAGAGUGGAAUUCCCAGUGUAGAGGUGAAAUUCGUAGAUAUUGGGAGGAACACCGGUGGCGAAGGCGGCUCUCUGGACCACAACUGACGCUGAGGCGCGAAAGCUCGGGGAGCAAACGGGAUUAGAUACCCCGGUAGUCCGAGCCGUAAACGAUGGGCACUAGGUGUAGGAGGUAUCGACCCCUCCUGUGCCGCAGCUAACGCAUUAAGUGCCCCGCCUGGGGAGUACGGGUCACAGACUAAAACUCAAAG
rnacentral:rRNA from 1 species